GAAGAAAGAGGGAGGCGUGCUUAACACAUGCGAGUCGAACGGAAAGGCCCUGCUUUUGUGGGGUGCUCGAGUGGCGAACGGGUGAGUAACACGUGAGUAACCUGCCCUUGACUUUGGGAUAACUUCAGGAAACUGGGGCUAAUACCGGAUAGGAGCUCCUGCUGCAUGGUGGGGGUUGGAAAGUUUCGGCGGUUGGGGAUGGACUCGCGGCUUAUCAGCUUGUUGGUGGGGUAGUGGCUUACCAAGGCUUUGACGGGUAGCCGGCCUGAGAGGGUGACCGGCCACAUUGGGACUGAGAUACGGCCCAGACUCCUACGGGAGGCAGCAGUGGGGAAUAUUGCACAAUGGGCGGAAGCCUGAUGCAGCAACGCCGCGUGCGGGAUGACGGCCUUCGGGUUGUAAACCGCUUUCGCCUGUGACGAAGCGUGAGUGACGGUAAUGGGUAAAGAAGCACCGGCUAACUACGUG
rnacentral:rRNA from 1 species